rnacentral:rRNA from 1 species
AGGACGAACGCUGGCGGCGUGCCUAACACAUGCAAGUGGAGCGACGAACCAGGCUUCGGCCUGGGGCAAAGCCGCGAACGGGUGAGUAACACGUGGGUAACCUGCCCCGAUGAUUGGAACAACCCGAGGAAACUCGGGCUAAUACCGAAUGUGCCCUACGGCCACAAGGCCGCUGGGGAAAGGAAGCUUCGGCCUCCGCAUCGGGAUGGGCCCGCGGCCCAUUAGCUUGUUGGUGAGGUAACGGCUCACCAAGGCGACGACGGGUA